rnacentral:rRNA from 1 species
UACGGGGGGGGCAAGCGUUGUUCGGAAUUACUGGGCGUAAAGGGCUCGUAGGCGGCCAACUAAGUCAGACGUGAAAUCCCUCGGCUUAACCGGGGAACUGCGUCUGAUACUGGAUGGCUUGAGUUUGGGAGAGGGAUGCGGAAUUCCUGGUGUAGCGGUGAAAUGCGUAGAUAUCAGGAAGAACACCGGUGGCGAAAGCGCUCUGCUAGGCCGCAACUGACACUGAGGGACGAAAGCUAGGGGAGCGAAUGGG